CCUACGGGAGGCAGCAGUGGGGGAUAUUGCACAAUGGGGGAAACCCUGAUGCAGCGACGCCGCGUGAGUGAAGAAGUAUUUCGGUAUGUAAAGCUCUAUCAGCAGGGAAGAAAAUGACAGUACCUGACCAAGAAGCCCCGGCUAACUACGUGCCAGCAGCCGCGGUAAUACGUAGGGGGCAAGCGUUAUCCGGAUUUACUGGGUGUAAAGGGAGCGUAGACGGUCAUGUAAGUCUGGAGUGAAAUGCCGGGGCUUAACCCCGGAACUGCUUUGGAAACUGUGCAGCUAGAGUGCAGGAGAGGUAGGUGGAAUUCCUAGUGUAGCGGUGAAAUGCGUAGAUAUUAGGAGGAACACCAGUGGCGAAGGCGGCUUACUGGACUGUAACUGACGUUGAGGCUCGAAAGCGUGGGGAGCAAACAGGAUUAGAUACCCGAGUAGUC
rnacentral:rRNA from 1 species